GGCCCAAUGGCCAACGGUGGCGCCCGCACCGCAUAAUGGUUACAGGUGCAAUUGCAAGCGGGAAGUCCUGGUUCGAUUCCGGGGCGGGUCA